rnacentral:lncRNA from 1 species
CUCUUCAGCUUCUUCCAUGUCUCCCUCAGGGACCACAUUUCCCAUAUGGACCACGUCUCCCGUAUGGAACACCACCUGGCUUCCAGUUGUGAUCACUUCUCCAGAGGGGACCUCUGACCCUUUCAUCAAUGGCUCAAGGCACAGGAAUUCAAGUUCUUCCUUCCCCUGGGCUCCUGGCCUCUGUGCAUUGUGGACUCCUGGUGGUCAAGGCCCUGGUGCUGUCAGCUCUGUGCAUGCUCCUGGGCUAUAGGUGCUGCCAGGUGAGUGGGCUGGGGCCACUCCUGACCCAGGAAGGAUUGGCCAAAAAAAAAAAAGAU